ACGAACGCUGGCGGCGUGCUUAACACCUGCCAGUCGCACGGAAAGGCCCUGCUUGCAGGGUACUCGAGUGGCGAACGGGUGAGUAACACGUGGGUGAUCUGCCCUGCACUUCGGGAUAAGCCUGGGAAACUGGGUCUAAUACCGGAUAGGAGCCAUUUUUAGUGUGAUGGUUGGAAAGUUUUUUCGGUGUAGGAUGAGCUCGCGGCCUAUCAGCUUGUUGGUGGGGUAAUGGCCUACCAAGGCGGCGACGGGUAGCCGGCCUGAGAGGGUGGACGGCCACAUUGGGACUGAGAUACGGCCCAGACUCCUACGGGAGGCAGCAGUGGGGAAUAUUGCACAAUGGGCGCAAGCCUGAUGCAGCGACGCCGCGUGGGGGAUGACGGCCUUCGGGUUGUAAACUCCUUUCGCUAGGGACGAAGCUUUUUGUGACGGUACCUAGAUAAGAAGCACCGGCUAACUACGUG
rnacentral:rRNA from 1 species